UACGUAGGCAGCGAGCGUUGUUCGGAGUUACUGGGCGUAAAGCGUGCGUAGGCGGUUUUCUAAGUUUGGUGUGAAAUCUCCCGGCUCAACUGGGAGGGUGCGCCGAAAACUGGAAGGCUGGAGUGUGGGAGAGGUAGGCGGAAUUCCUGGUGUAGCGGUGAAAUGCGUAGAUAUCAGGAGGAACACCUGUGGUGUAGACGGCUUACUGGACCAUCACUGACGCUGAGGCACGAAAGCGUGGGGAGCAAACA
rnacentral:rRNA from 1 species